UACAGAGACCUCAAGCGUUAUCCGGAAUCAUUGGGCGUAAAGCGUACCGAUAGGUGGUUGAAAUAGUCUUGGGUAAAAGCCAGAAGCUCAACUUCUGCGUUUGCUUAAGAUACUUUUCGACUAGAGGGGCAAAGAGGUGCUUGGAACGAAAUGGUGUAGUAGUGAAAUGCGUUGACAUCAUUCGGAACACCGAAAGCGAAGGCAGAGCACUGGGUGCCACCUGACACUGCUAGGACGAAAGCGUGGGUAGCGAAUGGG
rnacentral:rRNA from 1 species